GAUGAACGCUGGCGGCGUGCCUAAUACAUGCAAGUCGAGCGAACAGACGAGGAGCUUGCUCCUCUGACGUUAGCGGCGGACGGGUGAGUAACACGUGGAUAACCUACCUAUAAGACUGGGAUAACUUCGGGAAACCGGAGCUAAUACCGGAUAAUAUAUUGAACCGCAUGGUUCAAUAGUGAAAGACGGUUUUGCUGUCACUUAUAGAUGGAUCCGCGCCGCAUUAGCUAGUUGGUAAGGUAACGGCUUACCAAGGCAACGAUGCGUAGCCGGCCUGAGAGGGUGAUCGGCCACACUGGAACUGAGACACGGUCCAGACUCCUACGGGAGGCAGCAGUAGGGAAUCUUCCGCAAUGGGCGAAAGCCCGACGGAGCAACGCCGCGUGAGUGAUGAAGGUCUUCGGAUCGUAAAACUCUGUUAUUAGGGAAGAACAAAUGUGUAAGUAACUAUGCACGUCUUGACGGUACCUAAUCAGAAAGCCACGGCUAACUACGUG
rnacentral:rRNA from 1 species